rnacentral:rRNA from 1 species
CCUAGCUUGCUAGGUGGAUUAGUGGCGCACGGGUGAGUAAUAUAUAGAUAACGUGCCUCUUAGUCUGGGAUAGCCAUUGGAAACGAUGAUUAAUACUAGAUAUUCCUUCUAACAAUAAUGUUAGUCGGGAAAGUUUUUCGCUAAGAGAUCGGUCUAUAUCCCAUCAGCUAGUUGGUAGUGUAAGAGACUACCAAGGCAAUGACGGGUAGCGGGUUUGAGAGGAUGAUCCGCCACACUGGUACUGAGACACGGACCAGACUCCUACGGGAGGCAGCAGUGAGGAAUAUUGCACAAUGGAGGAAACUCUGAUGCAGCAACGCCGCGUGGAGGAUGACGCAUUUCGGUGUGUAAACUCCUUUUAUAUGUCAAGAAAAUGACGGUAGCAUAUGAAUAAGCACCGGCUAACUCCGUGCCAGCAGCCGCGGUAAUACGGAGGGUGCAAGCGUUAUUCGGAAUCACUGGGCGUAAAGGACGCGUAGGCGGGAUGCCAAGUCUGAUGUGAAAUCCUAUGGCU